rnacentral:tRNA from 1 species
GCUGAAUUAGCUCAAUUGGUAGAGCAACUGAUUUGUAAUCAGUAGGUUGGGGGUUCGAGUCCCUCAUUCAGCACCA